rnacentral:rRNA from 1 species
UACGUAGGGGGCAAGCGUUGUCCGGAUUCAUUGGGCGUAAAGAGCUCGUAGGCGGCCAGGUAGGUCGGUUGUGAAAACUGGAGGCUCAACCUUCAGAGGUCGACCGAAACCAUCUGGCUAGAGUCCGGGAGAGGAGAGUGGAAUUCCUGGUGUAGCGGUGGAAUGCGCAGAUAUCAGGAAGAACACCCGUGGCGAAAGCGGCUCUCUGGAGCGGUACUGACGCUGAGACGCGAAAGCGUGGGGAGCGAACAGG